rnacentral:rRNA from 1 species
GACGAACGCUGGCGGCGUGCUUAACACAUGCGAGUCGAACGGAAAGGCCCUGCUUUUGUGGGGUGCUCGAUUGGCGAACGGGUGAGUAACACGUGAGUAACCUGCCCUUGACUUUGGGAUAACUUCAGGAAACUGGGGCUAAUACCGGAUAGGAGCUCCUGCUGCAUGGUGGGGGUUGGAAAGUUUCGGCGGUUGGGGAUGGACUCGCGGCUUACCAGCUUGUUGGUGGGGUAGUGGCUUACCAAGGCUUUGACGGGUAGCCGGCCUGAGAGGGUGACCGGCCACAUUGGGACUGAGAUACGGCGCAGACUCCUACGGGAGGCAGCAGUGGGGAAUAUUGCACAAUGGGCGGAAGCCUGAUGCAGCAACGCCGCGUGCGGGAUGACGGCCUUCGGGUUGUAAACCGCUUUCGCCUGUGACGAAGCGUGAGUGACGGUAAUGGGUAAAGAAGCACCGGCUAACUACGUG